AUUGAACGCUGGCGGCAGGCCUAACACAUGCAAGUCGAGCGGAUGAGUGGAGCUUGCUCCAUGAUUCAGCGGCGGACGGGUGAGUAAUGCCUAGGAAUCUGCCUGGUAGUGGGGGACAACGUUUCGAAAGGAACGCUAAUACCGCAUACGUCCUACGGGAGAAAGCAGGGGACCUUCGGGCCUUGCGCUAUCAGAUGAGCCUAGGUCGGAUUAGCUAGUAGGUGAGGUAAUGGCUCACCUAGGCGACGAUCCGUAACUGGUCUGAGAGGAUGAUCAGUCACACUGGAACUGAGACACGGUCCAGACUCCUACGGGAGGCAGCAGUGGGGAAUAUUGGACAAUGGGCGAAAGCCUGAUCCAGCCAUGCCGCGUGUGUGAAGAAGGUCUUCGGAUUGUAAAGCACUUUAAGUUAGGGAGGAAGGGCAGUAAGUUAAUACGUUGCUACUUUGACGUUACCGACAGAAUAAGCACGGCUAACUUCGUGCCAG
rnacentral:rRNA from 1 species